rnacentral:rRNA from 1 species
GCAUAUUUUAGAGCUUUAAUCAUAAUAAAAAUAUAAAUAUUAUUACUUUCAAAUCCACCUGCAUUAUAAUUUUAAAUUACAAAUCCGUUUAAAUAUAUUUAAUGUAACCCAUUUCUUCUUGUCUAUAAACUGCACCUUGAUCUGAUUUAAUUAAUAAUUAUAAAUCAUGAAUAUUAAAUUCUAAUAAAAUAUUCAACUACGACGAUAUACAAAUUAAUUAAAACAAGUAUAAUUAAUCGUGGAAUAUCGAUUACAGAACAGGUUCCUCUGAAAAGACUAAAAUACCGCCAAAAUCUUUAAUUUUAAAGAACAUAUCUACUACUAAUUUAAAGUUUAAAUUUACAUUAAAA